UCGCUUUACCCAAAAUGUCAUCCUCAGCCUCAGGAAGAUAACGUGGAUGUGGGCAUCUGAAUUCUAUAAAAUAAAACCCAUCUAAUUCUUAUAAAAUGGUUUACUACACAAAUGGAUAAGAAUUCAUGUAAAGGAAGCGGUAUAGUUUGGAGAUGGCUUCCACUGCCUUGUCUUCCCAAUACCUCUCUUUCCGCCAUGCCCAUCCUCCUGCAACUUUCUCCAGGUGGGGUUGGAACAGGGAUCAAGGUGGAGGCAAAAUUACCCAUAGAACAAGGGGUCAAGCGUUUCGAAUCUUGGCCAACCCUAAUGUCUCUCCUGGGAAAGAUGGCUUUGUUAAAGAGGUGAUCAUGGUAGAUCCUUUGGAAGCCAAACGAAUGGCUGCGAAACAAAUGGAAAAGAUAAAAGCAAAAGAGAAAUUGAAGCGAAGACGUCAAAUAGAAGCGAUUAAUGGAGCAUGGGCAAUGAUUGGUCUCACUGCAGGGCUCGUCAUCGAAGGUCAAACUGGAAAAGGCAUUCUAGCGCAGUAACCCCAAUGGUUGUGCGGAGCGGUUAAAAAGGUCCUUAAAUACGACAAGAAUUUAUGGCAUCGACUGCUUCAUUUAGAUACGUUAUUUUCACUCGAACGUUACAAGGUUCGAUGAUAGUCAUCAUUUUUCUUCAUUUGAGUAAACAUGGAGGUGAAAGUGUUGGGUUGGACAACAGUUGACCGAUUACUUCAACACCGUUGUCCAUGUCUUUGUACGAUAGACAACUUCGAAGGCAAAGAUUGAAGUCUUCGAAUGAGGAACUAUUCUCGUAUCAACCAUUGAAAGUUUAGUACAUUAAAUAUUUCUGAGCAGGUCUUAUCGCACAUCGUUUUAUACAUUUGUAUGGAAAAAAAAAAGAGGAGAUCUUUCCAUCCUAAGAACCUCAAGAAUCAAACUGGUGUUGAGGACUCUGUAUUGAUUCCUUUUCUCAAGUUUGAUUUUUCUGCACAUUUCAUAUACAAAAUUGACAUUUAAUUGUGAAGCCAUUGGGAUAUGAACUAUGAAGCAGUGGAUAUAUAUGGUUCUGUUUUGGAAGAUUUUAUUGAUAAUACAGUCAAUAUCUCAUUCUCUACA